GCCUUGUCUCUAUGAGCAGAUACACUUUGAGCAAAAUAUGACGGAGUUUUACAACUCCCAGACUCCAUCAAGUGAAGAACCUACAUCUACGAGCACAAACACAUUGGAGAUACUGGACACUCAGGCAAUCACUGCCCUGAGAUGCUUGAGGACGUAACUACUGGAGUAACCUCGUUGUGGAAGUAAUUACUGACCUUCUGCCGGUCAAGAGAGGCAAUCCAGGACGCACUGUCAUCCCGAUCUCCAUCGGCAUGCCUACAGAUCAGACACUAAGUUUCCCAAAAGGAAUAUUGAAGAACCUCUGCGUCCGAGUUGGUACCUUGUACGCCCCAGCAGACUUCAUGGUGAAAGAGACUGGUACUGAUGAGAGGGCACCCAUCAUUCUAGGGAGGCCAUUACUAAACACCUCGGGAGCUGUCAUCUACGCUAGUGCUGCCAAGAUCAGUUUCUACAUCAAGGGGAAUAAGGAGACGUUUUCCUUCAAGAACAAGACUACACAAAUCUUAGAGCAAUCCCGACAUGAACCAAGGAAGAGGACCAACAGGAGGAACAGGAACAAGCAAAUGUGUAUCGAGUCAUCUAAGAUGGUCACUGCAGCUCAAGGAGGUCAAGAUCGUCAACUCAAGUCACCUUUCUUGAUCAAGAAGGACGACCCUGGUGUUCCAAGCAUCGAGUGCACAAUCAACGGAUAUUCUUUUCAGAAGACACUCUACUGUAACACUCCUAGUGUUAGCUUGCAUGUUAACCAUGAGCAUUGCAUUAACAUAAGCAUCAUCAUGAUCACUCAUGAGCAUCAUACCAUGAUCACAUGCCAUUUGCUUUAUGCACUACAUGAUUGAAUUGCUUGUAUGAAGUGAAUUGAGUGACUAUAAGGGGUAACCAAUGCAAAUAAAUAUACAUUGUCUUCCAAAAUACUUCAAUCAUGUUUGGAAUAUCAUUUGGAACAAAGUUCAUGUUGAGGGUUUUGGCCAAAAAUGCCCCUAGGUUAGGGUUAAACCUAGAAUGGCUUAUUUUGACUCCUAGACCUCUUUUCCAAGAUGUUUUAUGAAACUGGUGUUAGAUACCUUGCAUGUCUUUGACACCUGAAGCAAAGUUGUAGAGAAUUUCAUAAGCUACAAAAGUUAUGUUGAUGACUUUUUAUGAAAAAGCAUGGAACACUUCCAAAAUUCACUCACAAGCAAAAAAUCAGGGCUGAUUUCAUACUUAGCCAAAUUUGGCUAAGUAUUGGAUCGUGCAGUUUCGACCAGGGGUGAUUGGGAGCUUUGUAGUUUGAAAUCCAGACCGAGUUAGACUUUGAUCUUGUAACCAAAGUUGUAGAACUCGUGUAGCUCUGUCCAAAGGAACAAGUUUGAGCCAAAACCAUCGAGUAAGCUGAGAGUAAAACGUCAGUGAACUUCCGGUUUCAGACACGGUCGACGACGACUGAAUCGUGCGAUUCAGUUUCGUCAGUAGCCGGCCGGCCGACGCGUGGACGACCCGUGGCGGCCGUACGUCGACGGUGACCCCGCCUGUCAGCCCCGACGCCUUCACUUGGACGCCACGACGCCCCCCCGAGCCCCGGCCGUCCUCAUUUCGCCUCUCCAGCGCUCUCUCCCUCCUCCAUUUCGUCUCGGCGAGCUCCGCCGUGGAACGGCCGCGUCGCCCGAGCUCUUCUCGCCGUCUCCGGCCAAGCCAGCUCGCCAAAAGCUUCGCCAAAGCUUCCUCUACCUCGGCGUCACCUCCUUGGCCACUGCCGAGCACGGGUAAGGCGGCAUUGCUGAGCUCCGAGCAGUUCUUCCUCGCCGGAGUUCCGCCCGAGCUCACCGGCAACGUGGCCAGGCAUCUCUGCUCCACCAUUAUCCUCCAUUCUUGUUCCUACCGCUUCCCCUUGGUUCACUGAUGCUCGGCAUGACGCUCUACCGCGUCGCCGUUGCCUGGAUCCCCCGGCGUAUCGCCGCGCAGCGCCGCCGCUCCGCCAUUCCCGACGGCGAGCACCUUAGGGUCCAGUAGAGCGUGCGCAAAGUAGGUCAACAGAGUCGCCUUGAUGAGAGGAACACGUAGGUGCCCUUGGAUCCGGCCGAGACCUCGCCGUCGUUGAGCUUCGCCGGCGACGAGCGUCUCCCCUGCCUCUGUCUCACUGACAUGUGGGUCCCGGACGUCAGCCUCUCUGUGUCUCUCUCUGGUUCACUGUUUUGCAGAGCCAACGCUGAUUUUGUAAACUUCAUAUCUGGAGUUUUAGAGAUCCAAAUGUGGUGCUUCCAAUUUUGUUAGGUUCCAGCAUAAGUCUAGUUUUUAAUAAAAAUAUGAAACAUGCCAUGUUUUUGUAGAAAUAAAUAGAUAUAAAUUAAUCUUGGUUUUUCAGUGGGUAAUUUUAUCUUGAGAUCUAUUGAUCUGCUGGCCAUGCAAAUUUAGGGAGUUGUUACUUUUGUUAUGAAUAGGCUGUGAUAAAUUUUUCAUGAUUUUUGGAAGCCUGGUUAAGAAGUUAAAAUUUAUCCUUGCUUAAAUAGGAGAAUCUUGUGGUAUUUUUGAUAAUUAAAGUAUAACUCCUGUAAUGGUGAAACUUGCUGAGUGUUGUACUUAUGAGUAGACAAAGCAAGGAAAAAUAUGAAAUCUGUUGUUUGACACUUUUUGAUAGGGCUUUACAUUUAUGCCUUGCAUGCCUUUACUAGCUUGUGAUUUUCAUAUCUCACAAUGUGUACAUGCAAAUGUUCUGAAAAUUUUACAGUGAUCUUAUGUUAGCAUGAGUAGCUUGCUGUAAUUUUCUUAGGAUUUGUGGAACACUUGGAGUAUAUAUUCAUUAAAUCACCUUGAUAAUUAAAUAAAUGAAAAAGGUGAUGAUAGAAAUAGUUUUAAACCUUGCCAUAAUGUUUUCUGGUGUUCCUUAGAUAUGUUACAUCUGUUGGUGCAAUUGGUUUAUCCCUGUGAUACAUUCUCAAUAUGUGCAAAAUAUUAUUUUGGCUAUUUAUGCCUUUCCUAGAGCAUUUCUGUACAGCUGAUAGCAAAUGUUUAAGAACUAAUUGAAGAUUAUGUUUGCUGGGAAACUUGUCUAUAACAAACUUGUAGCUAACUUACCAAUCUACUUCGUGUCCAAAUUUCAUGACAUUUGGUUGAGUAGUUUAAAAGUUAUGCAUGUUGCAAGUAGUUGCUGUAAAGUGCUUGCUCUCUGGAAUUUCCAGAGCAGCCAGCCAACUUUGUAUGUUUUAGUAUAUUUCGGUUGGUAAUCAUGCUGAGAUGUCUAAAAGUAAAUUGUAGACAAUUUGUUAAGCUUUCCAGAAAGUGCUUACUUGCUUAAUUUGGUUAAGUAAUACUCGAGUUAUAACUGAAACUUGUGACAGGUUAGUUUGUCUACUAAACCAGUGACUGGGUAAGAGUAGCUAGGACUGGUUUAACUUGUCUAUUUAGUCUCUCUACCAGAAAAGAAGUAUGUAUUUACUUGUUAUUCCAUGACUCACUUAUUCUUAGAGGUUUAUGCUCAUGUUAUACCUGGUUAUGACCCUUGACUCUUCAUCAUGACAUCAUACAUCAUAUGUGCAUUUCCCAUAUUCAUCUCCUUGUCAUGCAUCCAUAGGUGUACCCAAAGGAGUGACGGUGCUGGAGUUCGAGUUGCCGGAGCCGGAAGGACAGCAAGGGGAGCCACCUCAAGGAGCUGAGGAGGAGGAGGAUUUGCCAGAGUGUCCUGACCAUCGUCCCUCUACCUACGUGGAAGGCAAGCCCCGGAGCAUUAUAAGUCUCCUACUAUUUUAUUAUCAUAAUCAACUAUCAAAUGACUAUGGUUAUAUAGUGUUGCAUUAAGUGGUAGGCGUUGAUAUGACACCCUUGCUGCAUAAUGACUACCUUGUCCACCUUAAACAUUACCAAAGUAGGUCUAGGAUCGAAGUGAUGCUUAGCCAUGCUUAGCUCGGUAGAAGUCGGGUGAUUUCCUGUCACCUGCGAGAGUUAGGUGGAUGAUGAUCACGGUUGGCUAUAUUUGCUAUCGUGGAGAUAACCAAGUGCUAAAAUGAACUUGAGACCGGGUGGGAGAACGAUAGUGCAGCAACAAGGCAUGGAGGCCUUGGGUGUGAAUCUAUCCCCGUCUGUGUCGAUUAAGGACCGAAUCGCUGUACGUCCCCGUGUCAUGUUGAACGCAUGCCUAUCACUUAGUUGGCCGGAUAAGUCGUUCCGACCGCGAAGCCUACGAGUGCAACUCAGGCCGGAUACCCCGUUCUGUAUGAGUGCGCACCCCGGUUGGUAGCAAGGAUGUGCGGGGAGUCAAUGGCGUAAGACCGAGGUGUCAGGUUAGAGUCCUGACCCUGGCAGAUUGGCGGUCCCUGGGGGUGCGGCGCUGGACGGACCCGCGAAUUGGUCCGGAGUUGUGCUAAAGGUGAUCCGAGCUGCCGUCAUGAAGUAUGCUUGGGUGAGUGUUAGGAAUACCCCUCCAGCUGGAUAGGAAUCGAUUCGAAUCGCCGUCUCUCCCGGAUAGUGAGAACUUGACUUGGGCAGCGGCAACGUAGACUUCACUAAAUAAACUUAAUGGUUAUGAUGAGAAUGAUGAUGGCUAUGUGAUAAUCCGGAUAUGGUUAUUAUUGUAAUGCUUAAAGACUCAAGUGUAUGCUUAGAACAGGUGCUAAUCUAGAGGAUAGUUGCUAAGUAAUAAACUUGCUGCUGAAAUUGGAUAAAUGAGUUACUUAUAACAAAGGCUUUUAUGCAAAAGAUGAGUCAAACCAGUCCACCAAGAUCAGCCUUGCAUACUCCUUGGUGUCACUUUAUUUCUGGUUUAUGACGGGUAAGUCUAGCUGAGUACAUUCUCGUACUCAGGGUUUUAUUUACCCCUGUUGCAGAUGACGUCGUCUAUCACGGCUACUGUGCUAGCUGUCAUCACUGUAAUAGAACCGCCCAAUUUACAAGAGAUCAACUAUGAAAAACUCCCGCCAAAGCAGUUGCUUUAACAUAAUCGAACUCUCAUAAACCCGGUAGUCCGUGAAAUCACGAGGGAUUUCAAACCGACCAUCUUACAAGCCAAGAUCGUAGUGAUUCAACAUAACAAGUCACAUGUUACAUCCAUUUCACAAGUAGUUUGAUAUACAUCGGAGUUCAAGAUAGUUAUUACAACUUAAGUUGAAAAGUAGCGGAAGCAAAGUAAUUUGAAACUAAUAUUGCCCUUAUUUCAAAUACAUGCCAGUAUCCAGGUCAACUCCAACAAAAGCAACAUAGAUAAGGUAACUAAGAAGGAUCAUGCCCAUGAUCUUACUCCUCUAAAAUGGUAGGAGUCAUCCAACUCUUGCAGUAGCCAUGAUACAUCACAACCUGCAACAAGUGGGAAUAAACCCUGAGUACGAGAAGGUACUCAGCUAGACUUACCCGUCAUAAACCAGAAAUAAUAUGACACCAAGGAGUAUGCAAGGCUUUAUUGGUGGAGCUAGCUUGACAACACUUUUUGCAUAAAAAGCUUAAGUUGCAACUAAGUAAUCCUUUCAGGUAUUUAGCUCAAGUUAAUAAUCAUUAACCUAUCAUCUAGAUUAGCACCUGUACUAAAGCAAUCACUUGAUUAAGAUUCAACAAUAGUACCCAUAUUUGAUGUGGCAUUUCCAACAUCAUCAUACCAUAACCAUCCAAGUGUUCCAUAAACAUUACUACGAUGACGAAGCUCAAGUCAAGUGCUCACUGUCCAGGAGCGAUGGCGAUUCGAAUCGAUUUCUAACCAGCUGGCGAGUUAUUCCCCACACAAACCACACUCACCGGCCAAAGUGAGCUACAGGUCACCAUAUUGCACUAUCCAGGACCAAUUCGCGGGUUCGACAGGCACCGCCCGUACCCGAGGACCGUUCCGGCGACCGAGGUAUCCAAGGUAUACCAAGGUUGCGCGCCGCGCCCUCGUCGUUCUCCUCAACCAUCACCAAUACAGCGCGUACAUCGGGCCGAUUCCCGGCCCGGAUAGUGCUCAGGCUUCGCGGUCGGAACGACUUAUCCUUCCAGCUAAGUGUGGGGCAUGCGUUCAACAUGACAAGAGGGCCGUCAACGAUCGGUCCUUAAUCGACGCAGGCGGGGAUAGAUAGGCACCCAAGACCUCCAUGUCUUGUUACUUCUCUACCAUCGUCCCGCCCGGUCUCCAAUUAUUCAUCCUCAUCACUUGGUUAUUUCCAUGAUAGCAUAUAUAGCCAACCUUUUCAGGUGUCCACCUAUCUCGCUCAGGUGACGGGACAUCACCUGGCUUCUACCGGUCUAAGCAUAGCUAAGCAUUUAGAUUCGAUCCUGAAUCUACAUAGGGUUAUAGGUAUAUUUGCUGGACAAGGAGUGUUAUAUGCAGCAAGGGUUUCACCCAACUCCUAUACUUAAUGCAACAAUACAUAUAUAACAUAUAUUCUCAACUGCAUUCAAAAGUAGUGGGAGACUUAUAAUGCUCCGGGGCUUGCCUGGGAUCAACACUGAGUCAGUUCAGUUAGUUGCUCCGUCUUGGUGACAUCUAAGGUCACAACGCUUGCUUAGUCCUUCCACCUUCGGGGUGGGUCCAUCCAACACCGUCUUCGGGUUUGUUCCCACACCAAGACCUUCACGUGAUUCAUCUAGCGCACCUAGAUGAGAUGCAAGAUGCAAGUGCAUGAAUAUAAAGAAUAAUAACACAACAUGCAUGACAUAAAAGUAUGCAAGACACAGGCAUCUAAAGUUAUUUAGCUAACAUCACACAACCAAUUAUAUAGAGCAAAUAUAUCAAUCAUGACACAAGUUUAACAAGUUUACAAGUGUAUUACUUAAAUCACCAUUAAAGACAUGAAUCAUACUUAGAUCACACAAAGUAAAGCAAUCAAGCAUUCAUGUAUUUCAGCAAUUCUGGACAUACAUGCAACAACUCAGUAAUUAAAUCACAACUGGAGUUACACAACUCCAAAAACUAUGCAAUAGGACAUUCUGGAAAGAAUAUAAAAUUAUCUACAAUUCAUAUUUAAUCAUCUCAGUAUGAUUAACAAGUUAACCAAGUCAAACAUGCAUAACCAUAGAAUCUGGUCCCGGAAUUUCCAGAGAACAAGCAUUUCAAAGGAUGAACUUCAUACUACUGUAACUCAUAAACCACUUAGCCAAAUGAUAUGAAACUUUACCACAAUAUAUACUAGUAAAUUAUCUACACCUUUUCUAUAUACAAGUUUCACAGCAAACAUCAUUUAUAUCAUGGAAUUAGUUGCAUAAAUAAAACUGCUCAUGCUGUCCAAACAGUAGAGGUAAAUUUACAAACAGAAAACUGAUAGGCAAUUCAAAGCAGCAUAACUAGAGUUGUAGACCUCCAGCAAACAUAAUUCUUAUAUUUUUGGAAAGCUUAUAAAGUUACCAACAACUUUCUUAUUAUCAUCUAAAUAUGAAUCUACAGUUAACAAGGUCAAUUAAUCCCAUGAAGAUAACUCUGUCCAAAACACAGACAGAAUCUGUCAUGCUACAUUAAACACCCAUAACAUGAGUUUCACAUGUCCAUAAAUUAUGGUUAUAUACUUUCUAGAAACCUUAUCUAAUUGUGAACAACUUUGGUAUAAACAUGUACAGCUAAAUCUACAACUAAAAAGGUCUUACAUUACAAACAAUGCAACCCUGUCUGGGUUUAGACAGAAACUGGAACAGUACUUUAAACCACUAUAACUAAACAUGUGCUUAACAAAAAAUUGUGCUAUUUACCUUUCUGGAAAGCUUAUGAAAAUUACUAAAACUUAUAUAUUUUCAUCUAGGCAAGAUUCUCAACUUAACUGAGCCAAACAAUACAAACAUGCAGAUCCACUCAGAAUAGGAGCAAAGCAACACAGGGCAUUUGUUAUUUUCAUAACUCUUAAUCUAUCAAUCCUAAAUUCAUUAAAAUUUUAACAGACAUCACGAAUCAUAUGAAAAGCAUGUCACAAUAUUUUCACAUUUAUUUGGGCAAUAACACAGCACUUAUGAAAAAGACAAAUAUAACAAGCAAUUAAAACCUAACUGCACAAAUCUAUUUUUACGACUAAAACUUCAAACUAAACCAUGCCAUAUUAUAGAUCUACUGCAUAGAAAAUUUCAUAAGGAUUCCAAAAAGUCCACAUUUGCUAUUUUACGACUUUUCUGUGAAUUACUAUGCAUUUGCAAAGUUCAUACAAGAAAUCUGCAAAAACAAAGAAAAGGAAAACAGAUCUUGCACCGGGAACCCUAGCUUUUUCAAGAAUCGCACCACAGCCCAGUAACACUAUUCAUAUGAGUCUUGGCUUCGCAUCUGGAACCCUGGGUUGUUUCAUAUUUCAACACGAGGUCCUUUCUUCUCCCUGUUAACAGAGACCGAACCGGGAGAUGAAGGAGGAUUCCGGCCGGCCGACGGUUGCUGCAAGGGAAGGCAUGGCCACGCCCUGGCCAUGUCCUUGCGGUCGAAGCAGCAGCACAGAGCGGCGCAGCAGCAUCUGCAGUUGGGCAGAAAGGGCACAGAGCAGAGCGCCGGCAGCCAUGGUGGCUCCGCUCUGCAGGCGCUGGGGGUGGAGAGAGCGAGCCAGGGGUGGAGAGGGGUGAGGAAGGCGCUGGCGUGUGUGUCCACUUCGACAGCCGGGCGUGGGGAGGGCUCUGGGCGAGCAGCAGAGGAGGAGGGGGCGCACUCGGGCAUGGAUGCCACGCAGCCGCGACGUGUAUGCCCGUUGAGGCAUUUCACCGAACACGUGUCGAGCAGCAAAGUGGCUUAGGUGGGACGCGGUUUGGGCCGGUUCUGGACCGAAUUUGGUCAUGGACCAAAAACGAAGUUUGCUCUACUCUUGACACUCUCCAACUUUGAUUAAGGGUGCUCAGUCAUUAGACCAACAGAUUAGGAGAUAACUUAAUGCCAAGUCACGAGUGUCAACUUAUUGACGGUGAUUAGCAAACCCAAGAAUUGAUGGUCCAAACCAUGUCAAACAUGAUGCAACUUUUUACAUGACGUUCUCCAAGUAAUUGUCCACCACUUUUAUUCUUGGACCAACUUGAGUUGCUUAACAAAAACACGAGAACGCGGCAUGCCAACGGGUCGACGUCCGUUUAGCGAUAAAUUAAUCUUUUGCUGUUUUGUGAGCUAUUUUUGAACAUCCAAAUGAACUCCAAAUUUGAUGAUACUUAACCCGUUGCUUUCAUCAAGAAGAGUACUCCAACUCAUAUUAAGGAAUAUAAUUGAGUUGCCUUAUGAAUUUGCAUAAUAAAACGUCACGAAGGAGCUAACUCACUGCUGUCCUUCUAGGGACUUGGAACUAUUUCUCAGGGCUGAAAAACAGCAGCUGAUUCGAACUUCGAGCCUCUGUUUGAACUGUUUGCAGGCUGAUUUGGUUCUUGACCUUUGAAUAAAGUUUCUUCUACAGAAGCAAAACCACAACUUUCAUUUAGGGUCAAACCUCAUAACUGCAAUCGAAGUCAAUCUUUCACCUUGGUCAAAGCAGUAAGCUGAUAAAGCUCCAAAUAGGAUUUUAGGCCAAUUGAAGCAUUUUCUUGACAUAAGCUCAACAUGAACCCUUCAUGACUUUUGUUGUAUAAUUCAUCAAGAGUCAUAUGAGCAAGUUUGCAAGGGUUGGUUCAUGACCCAUGAUUCCAUUUCCUUAAUAGAGUCAUUCCAACAAUGAUAUAACUUAUCAUUUCAUGUGACUUCUUGAUUCCAAACUUAACCAAACUUUUCCAGAGACCAACAUAGAUUGGGAUGGAUAUAAGACACAUGGAAAAGGUUCCAUUAGCAUCAUCAAAGCAUAACUUUUAAAAAGGCAUAUAUGCAAGCAAGGUUGCAUCCACCAAGCCCAAGUUGGGGUUUACUUUCAUAGAUUGACUUUGACCUCUAUAUUACCAUUGAACUUGUCAUGUUUGAGCUCAAACCUAGUACUUAGCAAGUGACAAACACCUGGGGUGUUACAGCCUUCCCCCCUUAAAAGAAUCUCGUCCCGAGAUUCGGUGCAAAAGACUUUCAAGGGAAGAAAACAAUGUCACGCAUUUUUCCAACAUCAGUGAUAACAGUGGGCUACUUUGCUUGGAACAUCAGAGAAGCAAACUUGGUCCAAACAUUUCAUGAUACUUGCUCUUCAUAGGAAACCUUUGUUUGGAGAAUCUCCCUUUUUGUUUGACUUUAGUGAAGCAUUGUUACUUUGGGAGGAAUCCAAGACAAACUGUUCCAUGUACUUUGUUUCUGGUUGUUUAGAGCCUAAGGAGCUACUUGUACCAUUAGCUUCUUUAGUGAAACUAAUGCAAGCCAUAUGAACUUCACACCACUUCACAAGCUUCUAAGGGUUGCGCAUUAUAGUGAUUCCAGGCUCAUUCACAAGAUUUGAAAAGCAGUCCUCUACCAAAAUGGUUGGAGUGUAAAUUUCCAUGCAUGCAGUUCUCCUUCUCUAAUGACAACAUUGUACUGACCACCCGAUUAAGAGAACAGUGAAUGUGAUAGCUGACUCUGUUGGUUUCAUGCCUUCCAUGAUCAUUUACUUUAAUGGGAUUCUUGUAUCCAAACAACAACAGUUAUCUGGGUUGAAUCAGAUGUAACUUCUUGGGUAACACAUAGAAGGUAACCAAGGCAUGUAAGAAUUGGAUAACCACUACUGACAAAGGAUGAUAGUGGGGUCCAUAGGUCUCCAACUGUUGCAAGUGUUCAACCAACUAAAGAAAUAGUUUACCACCAAGUAGGUUAAGCAUGACCUUUCUUCAUGAUGCAGUUGCAUAAGAGUUAGGUUGACUUGUUCCAUAGCAAAACCAAUCAAGUGGAACUACUUUUGCAUUUGAGGCUUCUUUUUAGGAUUAGUCGGUAGCUCUGAUAUUGAAAAUCUAUUGACUGACACCUUUCAAAACAUUUUUUUAUUUGCACUGGCACAAAUGGGUACAAAGAAUCUUAUUUCAGCAUAUAAGCACUAUCUAUACAACAAGACAUUGCCCACAAGGUAAUCCAUGGAACCAAGACAAACACCACUUUCUACGCAAAGGAUGAUCCAUAUCAAAACUGAGAUUGUAGAUUUCUUCCCCUUUUGGGUUUUGGUUCAUAUUUCACCAAUUAUCACUCACAUCCCCCUAAAAUUUGGUAGAAAUACAGAUCCAUGAGUCUUCCAACCUUUGAUCAAAAUUCAGCUCAAACGGGCACCAUUUGUGUAGGUAGAACAUAUACAUACUAAACUUGUUCGAUGCUGAAACGACAGUGUUCCGGACUGACAAGACAUCUCUCAACUCUAAAGAUUGAUUCACAAGUUGAUGAAAUAUAUCCUUCAUGGCUAUAAAUCCAUCGUUUCCUUGCUUGAGAUUAGCCUUGUUACUAGCAACCAAUCAAUUGGCUCUCAGCACUAAAAUUUCCAAAGCUCCACUCUUAACUACAACAAUUGUGGCUGACGCUUAACAAUUGGUCACCUUCAAAGCCAGUAGAUAAGGAUUCACGCUAAAGAUGGUUGACUUUAGUUGUAUCACCACGACGCACAUAAAGAUCAAGACUUAGGAAAAUUAAAUCAUAAGCACAAUGGUGAUGAUCGAUGCUUGUUCAACAGAUAACUUGUCCAACAUUAAGUGUUGUGUGUCCUUUUGGUUCGGCGUGGAUGACCAAUGUUGCUCAUUAAAUGGCCAUCAUCAUUGCAGGGAUAGUUAAAUGGUGUCACUUGUCUACCAUCUCGUGCAGUCCAUUAAUGUUUAUGUCAGUGACCCAUUCUUCAAAGGUAAUCCUCUUUGUAACUUCAUAGGAAGUUCUCUUAUUUGCACGUGAAGUAAGGAUCUUCUGAUCAAAUCUGGAUAGAUAAUUAAGGACAAACUCAUGAUGAGAUGACAUCUGGGUGUAGUUCUAUAAUGGAUCAUGGCUAGCAACAACGAUACCAGCGCGUGCCGAGCAGCACAACCAUGUGUCGGCCGCCACAAGGGGCUCUCGGUUUCGUCGCGGCGCCAUCAAUCGUUAACCAAGACACCAUUACCGAACAUACAAUCCAAAAGAAAUCUCCCAUGGCAAAAGUUGGGUUGUAUAGCAGCGAGCACUUUGCAAAAGAGGGGGGGUAUCAACUGAGAUAGUCAUGAGAUUAGAGGUCCACAAGGAGGCGAUUCAAAGAUAAAACAUAGUACUAGAGAACAUAGAUCACAGGAUAUAAAGACGGAUAAACACCCAGAGACUCAAGAGAGUUGGAGAUAAAACGAUUGAGAUUUGAAAGAUUGAGUCAAUUAAUACACAGAUUAGGGGAUGGAUACACAACAUUCAAGAGCUAACAACCAUGCACAAACUCAAGCUCUUUAUCAUUGGAAUCUACUUGGAGAUAACCAUGAGAUUAAAGUGACAUGAGUGUUAUUCUAAGGUAAGGCUCUUCAACACUCGCAUGCUUACUAAGGACAAAAAGGUAACAACUACGACACUACCUGAUUAACAACACAUAUACUCAUGCAUCAUGGUUUUAAACAAACAUGUGAGAACAUGAAUCACACUAUCUCCAACAAUCAUUACUAAGCACAAAGUUCCGCAGAUAACAAGCAGUUAUCUAAAGCAACACUAGUACACCUGAACAUACAAAACAUGAUGGUAAAGUGCUUUUAUCUUUUACUUUCUUUUACUAGAAAGGUGUAUGUCCCUUCUCUAGUUGUGAGAACAAAUUUUUACUUAUGUUUUAAAAGAAUGGUCAUCUUAGAGAUGUGCAUCAUACUAACAGGGUGCACAGAUUGACCACAACACGGGCAAAACAAAGCUAAUCACACCCUACCUUCAAUUAUAGCUAUUCAAGCAACAUGGAGCAAAACAUUUCAUCUAACUCCACACAAGCAAGAUGACACCACAUUGAUUCAUAAGUUACUUAUUGUUAGAACAAAGGUGAGAGACACAUAGUUAUACAUAAGAUAACAAUCAUGAUGAUGCAUGCUUCGUCCUAUUCGUCCUCACAAAAUUGCCAGCCUAAGGUGGCAAUCACGUUCUAUGUUAGUGGCAUAACACGUACACUCUCGACAUAUAGCUGGUAUCGGAGCAAGGUUCAACAUUAAACUUGUCAUAUGUGUAUUUAAAAUAAAAGAUUUUGUUUUCUAAAAUUAGUUUUUGACAACUUAUAGCUAUUAUAGAUAAAGGUGUGUUCAAAUCUAAAAAGGUUUUAUCUAAGUAUGCCAGUGGUCAUUUCCUUUAUGCCCAAUUAAGGACCCUUAGGUGGCUUAUUUAAGUACUGACUUGGGGGUUUAUGCAUCAUAUUUCUAUUUCGUUGCUCAUACAACGUGCAAUAGUAUGAGUGCCAUUCAUUUGAAUGGUAAUGUAUGGAUCAUUUUUCCUCUACGCCUUGGUAAGUGUGAGCUAUGAGAGCAUGAUCGGAUACACCGCCGAUCUAGGGAAGUGCUUUUGGUACUGGAUCAUGUGCACAUUUUACAUGUGCCUAUGAAAAGGUAUCGCAUGAUGGGUGAUUCCGUCCUUAGAGGCGAUGCCGUCACUAGGACGAUGAUGUGGGUAGUAGCACUACACAUACAUGUAUGGGGAAUACACGUGUGUGGAGCGCAUAGCUUUUUAAUCUUGGACUGCAUGUUUCAUACUGUGGGUGGGCUGAAAUGAGUUUUCUGCAGGUAUGCUAACCACGAAUGCGUAAAUUGAAUAUUACGACUAGCUAUAUGACGAGAGUGUACGUGUUAUGCCACCGACAUAGAACGUGAUUGCCACCUUAGGCUGGCAAUUUUGUGAGAACGAAUAGGACGAAGCAUGCAUCGUCAUGAUUGUUUCCUUAUGUCUAACUGUGCUUCUCUCACCCUUGUUCCAGUAAUAAAUAACUUGUGAAUCAAUGUGUGUCAUCUUGCUUGUGUGAAGUUAGAUGAAAUGUUUUGCUCCAUGUUGCUUGAAUAGCUAUAAUUGAAGGUAGGGUGUGAUUAGCUUUGUUUUGCCCGUGUUGUGGUCAAUCUGUGCACCCUGUUAGUAUGAUGCACAUCUCUAAGACGACCAUUCUUUUAAAACAUAAGUAAAAAUUUGUUUUCACAACUAGAGAAGGGACAUACACCUUUCUAGUAAAAGAAAGUAAAAGAUAAAAGCACUUUACCAUCAUGUUUUGUAUGUUCAGGUGUACUAGUGUUGCUUUAGAUAACUGCUUGUUAUCUGCGGAACUUUGUGCUUAGUAAUGAUUGUUGGAGAUAGUGUGAUUCAUGUUCUCACAUGUUUGUUUAAAACCAUGAUGCAUGAGUAGAUGUGUUGUUAAUCAGGUAGUGUCGUAGUUGUUACCUUUUUGUCCUUAGUAAGCAUGCGAGUGUUGAAGAGCCUUACCUUAGAAUAACACUCAUGUCACUUUAAUCUCAUGGUUAUCUCCAAGUAGAUUCCAAUGAUAAAGAGCUUGAGUUUGUGCAUGGUUGUUAGCUCUUGAAUGUUGUGUAUCCAUCCCCUAAUCUGUGUAUUAAUUGACUCAAUCUUUCAAAUCUCAAUCGUUUUAUCUCCAACUCUCUUGAGUCUCUGGGUGUUUAUCCGUCUUAAUAUCAUGUGAUCUAUGUUCUCUAGUACUAUGUUUAAUCUUUGAAUCGCCUCCUUGUGGACCUCUAAUCUCAUGACUAUCUCAGUUGAUACCCCCCCUCUUUUGCAAAGUGCUCGCUGCUAUACAACCCAACUUUUGCCAUGGGAGAUUUCUUUUGGAUUGUAUGUUCGGUAAUGGUGUCUUGGUUAACGAUUGAUGGCGCCGCGACGAAACCGAGAGCCCCUUGUGGCGGCCGACACAUGGUUGUGCUGCUCGGCACGCGCUGGUAUCGUUGUUGCUAGCCAUGAUCCAUUAUAGAACUACACACAGAUGUCAUCUCAUCAUGAGUUUGUCCUUAAUUAUCUAUCCAGAUUUGAUCAGAAGAUCCUUACUUCACGUGCAAAUAAGAGAACUUCCUAUGAAGUUACAAAGAGGAUUACCUUUGAAGAAUGGGUCACUGACAUAAACAUUAAUGGACUGCACGAGAUGGUAGACAAGUGACACCAUUUAACUAUCCCUGCAAUGAUGAUGGCCAUUUAAUGAGCAACAUUGGUCAUCCACGCCAAACCAAAAGGACACACAACACUUAAUGUUGGACAAGUUAUCUGUUGAACAAGCAUCGAUCAUCACCAUUGUGCUUAUGAUUUAGUUUUCCUAAGUCUUGAUCUUUAUGUGCAUCAUGGUCAUACAACUAAAGUCAACCAUCUUUAGCGUGAAUCCUUAUCUACUGGCUUUGAAGGUGACCAAUUGUUAAGCGUCAGCCACAAUUGUUGUAGUUAAGAGUGGAGCUUUGGAAAUUUUAGUGCUGAGAGCCAAUUGAUUGGUUGCUAGUAACAAAGCUAAUCUCAAGCAAGGAAACGAUGGAUUGAUAGCCAUGAAGGAUAUAUUUCAUCAACUUGUGAAUCAAUCUUUAGAGUUGAGAGAUGUCUUGUCAGUCAGGAAUGCUGCCCUUUUAGCACCGAACAAGUUUAGUAUGUAUAUGUUCUACCUACACAAAUGGUACCUCUUUGAGCUGAAUUUUGGUCAGAGGUUAGAAGACUCAUGGAUCUGUAUUUCUACCAAAUUUCAGGGGGAUGUGAGUGAUAAUUGGUGAAAUAUGAACCAAAACCCAAAAGGGGUAGAAAUCUACAAUCUCAGUUUUGAUAUGGAUCAUCCUUUGCGUAGAAAGUGGUGUUUGUCUUGGUUCCAUGGAUUACCUUGUGGGCAAUGUCUUGUUGUAUAGAUAGUGCUUAUAUGCUGAAAUAAGAUUUUUUGUACCCAUUUGUGCCAGUGCAAAUAAAAAAAUGUUUUGAAAGGUGUCAGUCAAUAGAUUUUCAAUAUCAGAGCUACCGACUGAUCCUAAAAAGAAGCCUCAAAUGCAAAAGUAGUUCCACUUGAUUGGUUUUGCUAUGGAACAAGUCAACCUAACUCUUAUGCAACUGCAUCAUGAAGAAAGGUCAUGCUUAACCUACUUGGUGGUAAACUAUUUCUUUAGUUGGUUGAACACUUGCAACAGUUGGAGACCUAUGGACCCCACUAUCAUUCUUUGUCAGUAGUGGUUAUCCAAUUCUUACAUGCCUUGGUUACCUUCUAUGUGUUACCCAAGAAGUUACAUCUGAUUCAACCCAGAUAACUGUUGUUGUUUGGAUACAAGAAUCCCAUUAAAGUAAAUGAUCAUGGAAGGCAUGAAACCAACAGAGUCAGCUAUCACAUUCACUGUUCUCUUAAUCGGGUGGUCAGUACAAUGUUGUCAUUAGAGAAGGAGAACUGCAUGCAUGGAAAGUUACACUCCAACCAUUUUGGUAGAGGACUGCUUUUCAAAUCUUGUGAAUGAGCCUGGAAUCACUAUAAUGCGCAACCCUUAGAAGCUUGUGAAGUGGUGUGAAGUUCGUAUGGCUUGCAUUAGUUUCACUAAAGAAGCUAAUGGUACAAGUAGCUCCUUAGGCUCUAAACAACCAGAAACAAAGUACAUGGAACAGUUUGUCUUGGAUUCCUCCCAAAGUAACAAUGCUUCACUAAAGUCAAACAAAAAGGGAGAUUCUCCAAACAAAGGUUUCCUAUGAAGAGCAAGUAUCAUGAAAUGUUUGGACCAAGUUUGCUUCUCUGAUGUUCCUAGCAAGGUAGUCCACUGUUAUCGCUGAUGUUGGGAGAUGGAUGACAUUGUUUUCUUCCCUUGAAAGUCUUUUGCACCGAAUCUCGGGACGAGAUUCUUUUAAGGGGGGAAGGCUGUAACACCCCAGGUGUUUGUCACUUGCUAAGUACUAGGUUUGAGCUCAAACAUGACAAGUUCAAUGGUAAUAUAGAGGUCAAAGUCAAUCUAUGAAAGUAAGCCCUAACUUGGAUUUGGAUGAUGCACCUUUACUUAUAUAUAGGCCCUUUUUCAAAGGUAUGCGUGGAUGAUGCUAAUGGAACCUUUUUCAUGUGUCUUAUAUCCAUCCCAAUCUAUGUUGGUCUCUGGAAAAGUUUGGAAUCAAGAAGUCACAUGAAAUAAUAAGUUAUAUCCUUGCCGGAAUGGCUCUAUUAAGGAAAUAGAAUCAUGGGUCAUCAAACAACCCUUGAAAACAUGUUCAUAUGGCACUAGAUGAAUUAUACAACAAAAGUCAUGAAGGGUUCAUGUUGAGCUUAUGUCAAGGAAAUGCUUCAAUUGGCCUAAAAUCCUAUUUGGAGCUUUAUCGGGUUACUACUUUGACCAAGGUGAAAGAUUGACUUCGGUUGCAGUUAUGAGGUUUGACCCUAAAUGAAAGUUGUGGUUUUGCUUCUGUAGAAGAAACUUUAUUCAAAGGUCAAGAACCAAAUCAGCCUGCAAACAGUUCAAACAGAGGCUCGAAGUUCGAAUCAGCUGCUGUUUUUCAGCCCUGAGAAAUAGUUCUAAGUCCCUAGAAGGACAGCAGUGAGUUAGCUCCUUCGUGACGUUUUAUUAUGCAAAUUCAUAUGGUAACUCAAUUAUAUUCCUUAAUAUGAGUUGGAGUACUCUUCUUGAUGAAAGCAAUGGGUUAAGUAUCAUCAAAUUUGGAGUUCAUUUGGAUGUUCAAAAAUAGCUCACAAAACAGCAAAAGAUUAAUUUAUCGCUAAACGGACGUCGACCCGUUGGCAUGCCGCGUUCUCGUGUUUUUGUUAAGCAACUCAAGUUGGUCCAAGAAUAAAAGUGGUGGACAAUUACUUGGAGAAGGUCAUGUAAAAAGUUGCAUCAUGUUUGACAUGGUUUGGACCAUCAAUUCUUGGUUUUGCUAAUCACCGUCAAUAAGUUGACACUCGUGACUUGGCAUUAAGUUAUCUCCUAAUCUGUUGGUCUAAUGACUGAGCACCCUUAAUCAAAGUUGGAGAGUGUCAAGAGUAGAGCAAACUUCGUUUUUGGUCCAUGACCAAAUUCGGUCCAGAACCGGCCCAAACCGCGUCCCACCUAAGCCACUUUGCUGCUCGACACGUGUUCGGUGAAAUGCCUCAACGGGCGUACACGUCGCGGCUGCGUGGCAUCCAUGCCCGAGUGCGCCCCCUCCUCCUCUGCUGCUCGCCCAGAGCCCUCCCCACGCCCGGCUGUCGAAGUGGACACACACGCCAGCGCCUUCCUCACCCCUCUCCACCCCUGGCUCGCUCUCUCCACCCCUAGCGCCUGCAGAGCGUAGCCACCAUGGCUGCCGGCGCUCUGCUCUGUGCCCUUGCUGCCCAACUGCAGAUGCUGCUGCGCCCCUCUGUGUUGCUGCUUCGACCGCAAGGACAUGGCCAGGGCGUGGCCAUGCCUUCCCUUGCAGCAAACGUCGGCCGGCCUUCAUCUCCUGGUUCGGUCUCUGUUAGUAACAGGGAGAAGAAAGGACCUCGUGUUCGAAUAAGAAACAACCCAGGGUUCCAGAUGCGAAGCCAAGACUCAUAUGAAUAGUGUUUGUGGGCUGUUGCGUGAUUCUUGGAAACUCCAGGGUCCCCGGUGAAAGAUCUGUUUUCCUUUUCCUUUGUUUUUGCAGAUUUCAUGGAUGAAUUUGUAAAUGCAUAGAAAUUCGUAGAAAAGUCGUAAAAUAGCAAAUGUGGACUUUUUGGAAUCCUUGUGAAAUUCUCUAUGCAGUAGAUCUAUAAUAUGACAUGUUUGUGCUUGAUGUUUUAACGGUAAAAAUAGAUCUGUGCAGAUUGGUUUUAAUUGCUUGUUAUAUUUGUCUUUUUCAUAACCACUGUAUUACUGCUCAAAUAAAUGUGAAAAUAUUGUGGCAUGCUUUUCAUAUAAUAUGUGAUGUCUCAUAAAAUUUACAUGAAUUUAGGAAUGACAGAUUAACAGUUAUAAAAAUAUCAAAUUCCCUGUGUUGCUUUACUCCUAUUCUGAGUGGAUCUGCAUGUUUGAAUUGUUUGGCUCAGUUCAGUUGUGAAUCAUGCCUUAAUGAAAAUAUAUAAGUUUUAGUACUUUUCAUGAGCUUUCCAAAAAGAUAAAUAGCACAAUUUUUGGUUGAGCACAUGUUUAGUUAUAGUGGUUUAAAUUACUGUUCCAGUUUCUGUCUAAAACCAGACAGGGUUGCAUUGUUUGUUAUGUGAGACCUUGUUAAUUGUAUAUUUAGCUCUAGAUGUUUAUAACAAAGUUGUUCACAAUUUAGUAAGCUUUCUAUAAAGUACAUAACCAUAAUUUAUUGACAUGUGAAACUCAAGUUACGGCUGUUUAAUGUGGCAUGACAGAUUCUGUCUAUGUUUUAGACAGAGAUGUCUUUAUGGGAUUAAUUGACCUUGUUAACUCUAGAUUCAUAUUUAGAUGAUAAUAAGAAAGUUGUAGGUAACUUUAUAAGCUUUCCAAAAAUAUAAGAAUCAUGUUGGCUGGAGGUAUACAACUCCGGUUAUGAUGCUUUGAAUUGCCUAUCAGUUUUCUGUUUGUAAUUAUACCCCUACUGUUUGGGCAGCAUGAGCAGUUUUGAUUGUGCAAUUAAUUCCAUGAUAUAAAUGAUGUUUUCUGUGAAACUUGUAUAUAGAAAAGAUGUAGAUAACUUACUAAUAUAUCUUGUUGUAAAGUUUCAUGUCAUUUGGCUAAGUGGUUUAUGAGUUACAGUAGUAUGAAGUUCAUCCUUUGAAAUGCUUGUUCUCUGGAAAUUCCGGGACCAGAUUCUAUGGUUAUGCAUGUUUGACUUGGUUAACUUGUUAAUCAUACUGAGAUGAUUAAAUAUGAAUUGUAGAUAAUUUUAUAUUCUUUCCAGAAUGUCCUAUUGCAUAGUUUUUGGAGUUGUGUAACUCCAGUUGUGAUUUAAUUACUGAGUUGUUGCAUGUAUGUCCAGAAUUGCUGAAAUACACGAAUGCUUAAUUGCUUUACUUGGUGUGUGCUAACUAUGAUGCAUGACUUUAGUGUUGAUUAAGUAAUACACUUGUAAACUUGUUAAACUUGUGUCAUGAUUUAUAUGUUUGCUCUAUAUAAUUGGUUGUGUGAUGUUAACUAAAUAACUUUAGAUGCCUCUGUCUUGCAUACUUUUAUGUAAUGCAUGUUGUGUCACUAUUCUGCAUAUUCAUGCACUUGCAUCUUGCAUCUCAUCUAGGUGCGCUAGAUGAAUCACGUGAAGGUCUUGGUGUGGAAACAAAACCGAAGAUGGUGUUGGGUGGACCCGUCCCGAAGGUGGAAGGUCUAAGCAAGUGUUGUGACCUUAGAUGUCACCAAGACGGAGCAACUAACUGAAUUGACUCAGUGUUAAUCCCAGGCAAGCCCCGGAGCAUUAUAAGUCUCCCACUACUUUUGAAUGCAGUUGAGAAUAUAUGUUAUAUAUGUAUUGUUGCAUUAAGUAUAGGAGUUGGGUGAAACCCUUGCUGCAUAUAACACUCCUUGUCCAGCAAAUAUACCUAUAACCCUAUGUAGAUUCAGGAUCGAAUCUAAAUGCUUAGUCAUGCUUAGACCGGUAGAAGCCAGGUGAUGUCCUAUCACCUGAGCGAGAUAGGUGGAUACCUGAAAAGGUAGGCUAUAUAUGCUAUCAUGGAAAUAACCAAGUGAUGAGGAUGAAUAAUUGGAGACCGGGCGGGACGACGCUAGAGAAGUAACAAGACAUGGAGGUCUUGGGUGCCUAUCUAUCCCCGCCUGUGUCGAUUAAGGACCGAUCGUUGACGGCCCUCUUGUCAUGUUGAACGCAUGCCCCACACUUAGCUGGAAGGAUAAGUCGUUCCGACCGCGAAGCCUGAACACUAUCCUGGCCGGGAAUCGGCCCGAUGUACGCGCUGUAUUGGUGAUGGUUGAGGAGAACGACGAGGGCGCGGCGCGCAACCUUGGUAUACCUUGGAUACCUCGGUCGCCGGAACGGUCCUCGGGUACGGGCGGUGCCUGUCGAACCCGCGAAUUGGUCCUGGAUAGUGUAAUAUGGUGACCUGUAGCUCACUUUGGCCGGUGAGUGUGGUUUGUGUGGGGAAUAACUCGCCAGCUGGUCAGAAAUCGAUUCGAAUCGCCAUCGCUCCUGGAUAGUGAGCACUUGACUUGAGCCACGUCCUCGUAGUAAUGUUUAUGGAACACUUGGAUGGUUAUGGUAUGAUGAUAAUGAUGGAAAUGCUACCUCUAAUAUGGAUACUACUGUUGUAUCUUAAUCAAGUGAUUGCUCUAGUACAGGUGCUAAUAUAGAUGACAGGUAAUGAUUAUUAACUUGAGCUAAAUACCUGAAAAGUUACUUACCUGUAACCUAAGCUUUUUAUGCAAAAAAGUGUUGUCAAGCUAGCCCCACCAAUAAAGCCUUGCAUACUCCUUGGUGUCAUAUUAUUUCUGGUUUAUGACGGGUAAGUCUAGCUGAGUACCUUCUCGUACUCAGGGUUUAUUCCCACUUGUUGCAGGUUGUGAUGUAUCAUGGCUACUGCAAGAGUUGGAUGACUCCUACCAUAUUAGAGGAGUAAGAUCAUGGGCAUGAUCCUUCUUAGUUACCUUAUCUAUGUUGCUUUUGUUGGAGUUGACCUGGAUACUGGCAUGUAUUUGAAAUAAGGGCAAUAUUAGUUUCAAAUUACUUUGCUUCCGCUACUUUUCAACUUAAGUUGUAAUAACUAUCUUGAACUCCGAUGUAUAUCAAACUACUUGUGAAAUGGAUGUAACAUGUGACUUGUUAUGUUGAAUCACUACGAUCUUGGCUUGUAAGAUGGUUGGUUUGAAAUCCCUCGUGAUUUCACGGACUACCGGGUUUAUGAUAGUUCGAUUAUGUUAAAGCAACUGCUUUGGCGGGAGUUUUUCAUAGUUGAUCUCUUGUAAAUUGGGCGGUUCUUCCCGAGAUUCGGUGCAAAAGACUUUCAAGGGAAGAAAACAAUGUCACGCAUUUUUCCAACAUCAGUGAUAAUAGUGGGCUACUUUGCUUGGAACAUCAGAGAAGCAAACUUGGUCCAAACAUUUCAUGAUACUUGCUCUUCAUAGGAAACCUUUGUUUGGAGAAUCUCCCUUUUUGUUUGACUUUAGUGAAGCAUUGUUACUUUGGGAGGAAUCCAAGACAAACUGUUCCAUGUACUUUGUUUCUGGUUGUUUAGAGCCUAAGGAGCUACUUGUACCAUUAGCUUCUUUAGUGAAACUAAUGCAAGCCAUAUGAACUUCACACCACUUCACAAGCUUCUAAGGGUUGCGCAUUAUAGUGAUUCCAGGCUCAUUCACAAGAUUUGAAAAGCAGUCCUCUCCCAAAAUGGUUGGAGUGUAACUUUCCAUGCAUGCAGUUCUCCUUCUCUAAUGACAACAUUGUACUGACCACCCGAUUAAGAGAACAGUGAAUGUGAUAGCUGACUCUGUUGGUUUCAUGCCUUCCAUGAUCAUUUACUUUAAUGGGAUUCUUGUAUCCAAACAACAACAGUUAUCUGGGUUGAAUCAGAUGUAACUUCUUGGGUAACACAUAGAAGGUAACCAAGGCAUGUAAGAAUUGGAUAACCACUACUGACAAAGGAUGAUAGUGGGGUCCAUAGGUCUCCAACUGUUUCAAGUGUUCAACCAACUAAAGAAAUAGUUUACCACCAAGUAGGUUAAGCAUGACCUUUCUUCAUGAUGCAGUUGCAUAAGAGUUAGGUUGACUUGUUCCAUAGCAAAACCAAUCAAGUGGAACUACUUUUGCAUUUGAGGCUUCUUUUUAGGAUCAGUCGGUACCCCUUUUGGGUUUUGGUUCAUAUUUCACCAAUUAUCACUCACAUCCCCCUGAAAUUUGGUAGAAAUACAGAUCCAUGAGUCUUCUAACCUCUGACCAAAAUUCAGCUCAAAGAGGUACCAUUUGUGUAGGCAGAACAUAUACAUACUAAACUUGUUCAAUGCUAAAAGGGCAGCAUUCCUGACUGACAAGACAUCUCUCAACUCUACAGUUUAAUUCACUAGUUGAUGAAAUAUAUCCUUCAUGGCUAUCAAUCCAUCGUUUCCUUGCUUGAGAUUAGCUUUGUUACUAGCAACCAAUCAAUUGGCUCUCAGCACUAAAAUUUCCAAAGCUCCACACAUAGCCACAACAGUUGCGGUUGACGCCUAACCAUUAGUCACCCUCAAAGCCAAGAGAUAAGGAUUCAUGAUAAAGAUGGUUGACUUUAGUUGUAUGACCAUGAUGCACAUAAAGAUCAAGACUUAGGAAAACUAGAUCAUAAGCACAAUGGUGAUGAUCGAUGCUUGUUCAACAGAUAACUUGUCCAACAUUAAGUGUUGUGUGUCCUUUUGGUUCGGCGUGGAUGACCAAUGUUGCUCAUUAAAUGGCCAUCAUCAUUGCAGGGAUAGUUAAAUGGUGUCACUUUUCUACCAUCUCGUGCAGUCCAUUAAUGUUUAUGUCAGUGACCCAUUCUUCAAAGGUAAUCCUCUUUGUAACUUCAUAGGAAGUUCUCUUAUUUGCACGUGAAGUAAGGAUCUUCUGAUCAAAUCUGGAUAGAUAAUUAAGGACAAACUCAUGAUGAGAUGACAUCUGGGUGUAGUUCUAUAAUGGAUCAUGGCUAGCAACAACGAUACCAGCGCGUGCCGAGCAGCACAACCAUGUGUCGGCCGCCACAAGGGGCUCUCGGUUUCGUCGCGGCACCAUCAAUCGUUAACCAAGACACCAUUACCGAACAUACAAUCCAAAAGAAAUCUCCCAUGGCAAAAGUUGGGUUGUAUAGCAGCGAGCACUUUGCAAAAGAGGGGGGGUAUCAACUGAGAUAGUCAUGAGAUUAGAGGUCCACAAGGAGGCGAUUCAAAGAUUAAACAUAGUACUAGAGAACAUAGAUCACAUGAUAUUAAGACGGAUAAACACCCAAAGACUCAAGAGAGUUGGAGAUAAAACGAUUGAGAUUUGAAAGAUUGAGUCAAUUAAUACACAGAUUAGGGGAUGGAUACACAACAUUCAAGAGCUAACAACCAUGCACAAACUCAAGCUCUUUAUCAUUGGAAUCUACUUGGAGAUAACCAUGAGAUUAAAGUGACAUGAGUGUUAUUCUAAGAUAAGGCUCUUCAACACUCGCAUGCUUACUAAGGACAAAAAGGUAACAACUACGACACUACCUGAUUAACAACACAUCUACUCAUGCAUCAUGGUUUUAAACAAACAUGUGAGAACAUGAAUCACACUAUCUCCAACAAUCAUUACUAAGCACAAAGUUCCGCAGAUAACAAGCAGUUAUCUAAAGCAACACUAGUACACCUGAACAUACAAAACAUGAUGGUAAAGUGCUUUUAUCUUUUACUUUCUUUUACUAGAAAGGUGUAUGUCCCUUCUCUAGUUGUGAAAACAAAUUUUUACUUAUGUUUUAAAAGAAUGGUCAUCUUAGAGAUGUGCAUCAUACUAACAGGGUGCACAGAUUGACCACAACACGGGCAAAACAAAGCUAAUCACACCCUACCUUCAAUUAUAGCUAUUCAAGCAACAUGGAGCAAAACAUUUCAUCUAACUCCACACAAGCAAGAUGACACCACAUUAAUUCAUAAGUUACUUAUUGUUAGAACAAAGGUGAGAGACACAUAGUUAUACAUAAGAUAACAAUCAUGAUGAUGCAUGCUUCGUCCUAUUCGUCCUCACAAAAUUGCCAGCCUAAGGUGGCAAUCACGUUCUAUGUCGGUGGCAUAACACGUACACUCUCGACAUAUAGCUAGUCGUAAUAUUCAAUUUACGCAUUCGUGGUUAGCAUACCUGCAGAAAACUCAUUUCAGCCCACAGUAUGAAACAUGCAAUACAAUAUCAAAAAGCUAUGCGGUUCCACACACGUGUAUCCCCAUACUCGUAUGUGUAGUGCUACUACCCACAUCAUCGUCCUAGCGACGGCAUCGCCUCUAAGGACGGAAUCACCCAUCAUGCGAUACCUUUUCAUAGCCACAUGUAAAAUGUGCACAAGAUCCAGUACCAAAAGCACUUCCCUAGAUCGGCGGUGUAUCCGAUCAUGCUCUCAUAGCUCACACUUACCAAGGCGUAGAGGAAAAAUGAUCCAUACAUUACCAUUCAAAUGAAUGGCACUCAUACUAUUGCACGCCGUAUGAGCAACGAAAUAGAAAUAUGAUGCAUAAACCCCCAAGUCAGUACUUAAAUAAGCCACCUAAGGGUCCUUAAUUGGGCAUAAAGGAAAUGACCACUGGCAUACUUAGAUAAAACCUUUUUAGAUUUGAACACACCUUUAUCUAUAAUAGCUAUAAGUUGUCAAAAACUAAUUUUAGAAAACAAAAUCUUUUGUUUUAAAUACACAUAUGACAAGUUUAAUGUUGAACCUUGCUCCGAUACCAACUGUAACAGAACCGCCCAAUUUACAAGAGAUCAACUAUGAAAAACUCCCGCCAAAGCAGUUGCUUUAACAUAAUCGAACUCUCAUAAACCCGGUAGUCCGUGAAAUCACGAGGGAUUUCAAACCAACCAUCUUACAAGCCAAGAUCGUAGUGAUUCAACAUAACAAGUCACAUGUUACAUCCAUUUCACAAGUAGUUUGAUAUACAUCGGAGUUCAAGAUAGUUAUUACAACUUAAGUUGAAAAGUAGCGGAAGCAAAGUAAUUUGAAACUAAUAUUGCCCUUAUUUCAAAUACAUGCCAGUAUCCAGGUCAACUCCAACAAAAGCAACAAAGAUAAGGUAACUAAGAAGGAUCAUGCCCAUGAUCUUACUCCUCUAAUAUGGCAGGAGUCAUCCAACUCUUGCAGUAGCCAUGAUACAUCACAACCUGCAACAAGUGGGAAUAAACCCUGAGUACGAGAAGGUACUCAGCUAGACUUACCCGUCAUAAACCAGAAAUAAUAUGACACCAAGGAGUAUGCAAGGCUUUAUUGGUGGAGCUAGCUUGACAACACUUUUUGCAUAAAAAGCUUAAGUUGCAACUAAGUAAUCCUUUCAGGUAUUUAGCUCAAGUUAAUAAUCAUUAACCUAUCAUCUAGGUUAGCACCUGUACUAAAGCAAUCACUUGAUUAAGAUUCAACAAUAGUACACAUAUUUGAUGUGGCAUUUCCAACAUCAUCAUACCAUAACCAUCCAAGUGUUCCAUAAACAUUACUACGAUGACGAAGCUCAAGUCAAGUGCUCACUGUCCAGGAGCGAUGGCGAUUCGAAUCGAUUUCUAACCAGCUGGCGAGUUAUUCCCCACACAAACCACACUCACCGGCCAAAGUGAGCUACAGGUCACCAUAUUGCACUAUCCAGGACCAAUUCGCGAGUUCGACAGGCACCGCCCGUACCCGAGGACCGUUCCGGCGACCGAGGUAUCCAAGGUAUACCAAGGUUGCGCGCCGCGCCCUCGUCGUUCUCCUCAACCAUCACCAAUACAGCGCGUACAUCGGGCCGAUUCCCGGCCCGGAUAGUGCUCAGGCUUCGCGGUCGGAACGACUUAUCCUUCCAGCUAAGUGUGGGGCAUGCGUUCAACAUGACAAGAGGGCCGUCAACGAUCGGUCCUUAAUCGACGCAGGCGGGGAUAGAUAGGCACCCAAGACCUCCAUGUCUUGUUACUUCUCUACCAUCGUCCCGCCCGGUCUCCAAUUAUUCAUCCUCAUCACUUGGUUAUUUCCAUGAUAGCAUAUAUAGCCAACCUUUUCAGGUGUCCACCUAUCUCGCUCAGGUGACGGGACAUCACCUGGCUUCUACAGGUCUAAGCAUAGCUAAGCAUUUAGAUUCGAUCCUGAAUCUACAUAGGGUUAUAGGUAUAUUUGCUGGACAAUGAGUGUUAUAUGCAGCAAGGGUUUCACCCAACUCCUAUACUUAAUGCAACAAUACAUAUAUAACAUAUAUUCUCAACUGCAUUCAAAAGUAGUGGGAGACUUAUAAUGCUCCGGGGCUUGCCUGGGAUCAACACUGAGUCAGUUCAGUUAGUUGCUCUGUCUUGGUGACAUCUAAGGUCACAACGCUUGCUUAGUCCUUCCACCUUCAGGGUGGGUCCAUCCAACACCGUCUUCGGGUUUGUUCCCACACCAAGACCUUCACGUGAUUCAUCUAGCGCACCUAGAUGAGAUGCAAGAUGCAAGUGCAUGAAUAUAAAGAAUAAUAACACAACAUGCAUGACAUAAAAGUAUGCAAGACACAGGCAUCUAAAGUUAUUUAGCUAACAUCACACAACCAAUUAUAUAGAGCAAAUAUAUCAAUCAUGACACAAGUUUAACAAGUUUACAAGUGUAUUACUUAAAUCACCAUUAAAGACAUGAAUCAUACUUAGAUCACACAAAGUAAAGCAAUCAAGCAUUCAUGUAUUUCAGCAAUUCUGGACAUACAUGCAACAACUUAGUAAUUAAAUCACAACUGGAGUUACACAACUCCAAAAACUAUGAAAUAGGACAUUCUGGAAAGAAUAUAAAAUUAUCUACAAUUCAUAUUUAAUCAUCUCAGUAUGAUUAACAAGUUAACCAAGUCAAACAUGCAUAACCAUAGAAUCUGGUCCCGGAAUUUCCAGAGAACAAGCAUUUCAAAGGAUGAACUUCAUACUACUGUAACUCAUAAACCACUUAGCCAAAUGAUAUGAAACUUUACCACAAUAUAUACUAGUAAAUUAUCUACACCUUUUCUAUAUACAAGUUUCACAGCAAACAUCAUUUAUAUCAUGGGAUUAGUUGCAUAAAUAAAACUGCUCAUGCUGUCCAAACAGUAGAGGUACAUUUACAAACAGAAAACUGAUAGGCAAUUCAAAGCAGCAUAACUAGAGUUGUAGACCUCCAGCAAACAUAAUUCUUAUAUUUUUGGAUAGCUUAUAAAGUUACCUACAACUUUCUUAUUAUCAUCUAAAUAUGAAUCUACAGUUAACAAGGUCAAUUAAUCCCAUGAAGAUAACUCUGUCCAAAACACAGACAGAAUCUGUCAUGCUACAUUAAACACCCAUAACAUGAGUUUCACAUGUCCAUAAAUUAUGGUUAUAUACUUUCUAGAAACGAUAUCUAAUUGUGAACAACUUUGUUAUAAACAUGUACAGCUAAAUCUACAACUAAAAAGGUCUUACAUUACAAACAAUGCAACCCUGUCUGGGUUUAGACAGAAACUGGAACAGUACUUUAAACCAAUAUAACUAAACAUGUGCUUAACAAAAAAUUGUGCUAUUUACCUUUCUGGAAAGCUUAUGAAAAUUACUAAAACUUAUAUAUUUUCAUCUAGGCAAGAUUCUCAACUUAACUGAGCCAAACAAUACAAACAUGCAGAUCCACUCAGAAUAGGAGCAAAGCAACACAGGGCAUUUGUUAUUUUCAUAACUCUUAAUCUAUCAAUCCUAAAUUCAUUUAAAUUUUAACAGACAUCAAGAAUCAUAUGAAAAGCAUGUCACAAUAUUUUCACAUUUAUUUGGGCAAUAACACAGCACUUAUGAAAAAGACAAAUAUAACAAGCAAUUAAAACCUAACUGCACAAAUCUAUUUUUACGACUAAAACUUCAAACUAAACCAUGCCAUAUUAUAGAUCUACUGCAUAGAGAAUUUCAUAAGGAAUCCAAAAAGUCCACAUUUGCUAUUUUACGACUUUUCUGUGAAUUACUAUGCAUUUGCAAAGUUCAUACAAGAAAUCUGCAAAAACAAAGAAAAGGAAAACAGAUCUUGCACCGGGAACCCUAGCUUUUUCAAGAAUCGCGCCACAGCCCAGUAACACUAUUCAUAUGAGUCUUGGCUUCGCAUCUGGAACCCUGGGUUGUUUCAUAUUUCAACACGAGGUCUUUUCUUCUCCCUGUUACGAACAGAGACUGAACCAGGAGAUGAAGGAGGAUUCCGGCCGGCCGACGGUUGCUGCAAGGGAAGGCAUGGCCACGCCCUGGCCAUGUCCUUGCGGUCGAAGCAGCAGCACAGAGGGGCGCAGCAGCAUCUGCAGUUGGGCAGCAAGGGCACAGAGCAGAGCGCCGGCAACCAUGGUGGCUCCGCUCUGCAGGCGCUGGGGGUGGAGAGAGCGAGCCAGGGGUGGAGAGGGGUGAGGAAGGCGCUGGCGUGUGUGUCCACUUCGACAGCCGGGCGUGGGGAGGGCUCUGGGCGAGCAGCAGAGGAGGAUGGGGCGCACUCGGGCAUGGAUGCCACGCAGCCGCAACGUGUACGCCCGUUGAGGCAUUUCACCGAACACGUGUCGAGCAGCAAAGUGGCUUAGGUGGGACGCGGUUUGGGCCGGUUCUGGACCGAAUUUGGUCAUGGACCAAAAACGAAGUUUGCUCUACUCUUGACACUCUCCAACUUUGAUUAAGGGUGCUCAGUCAUUAGACCAACAGAUUAGGAGAUAACUUAAUGCCAAGUCACGAGUGUCAACUUAUUGACGGUGAUUAGCAAAACCAAGAAUUGAUGGUCCAAACCAUAUCAAACAUGAUGCAACUUUUUACAUGACCUUCUCCAAGUAAUUGUCCACCACUUUUAUUCUUGGACCAACUUGAGUUGCUUAACAAAAACACGAGAACGCGGCAUGCCAACGGGUCGACGUCCGUUUAGCGAUAAAUUAAUCUUUUGCUGUUUUGUGAGCUAUUUUUGAACAUCCAAAUGAACUCCAAAUUUGAUGAUACUUGACCCAUUGCUUUCAUCAAGAAGAGUACUCCAACUCAUAUUAAGGAAUAUAAUUGAGUUGCCAUAUGAAUUUGCAUAAUAAAACGUCACGAAGGAGCUAACUCACUGCUGUCCUUCUAGGGACUUAGAACUAUUUCUCAGGGCUGAAAAACAGCAGCUGAUUCGAACUUCGAGCCUCUGUUUGAACUGUUUGCAGGCUGAUUUGGUUCUUGACCUUUGAAUAAAGUUUCUUCUACAGAAGCAAAACCACAACUUUCAUUUAGGGUCAAACCUCAUAACUGUAAUCGAAGUCAAUCUUUCACCUUGGUCAAAGCAGUAACCCGAUAAAGCUCCAAAUAGGAUUUUAGGCCAAUUGAAGCAUUUUCUUGACAUAAGCUCAACAUGAACCCUUCAUGACUUUUGUUGUAUAAUUCAUCAAGAGUCAUAUGAGCAAGUUUGCAAGGGUUGGUUCAUGACCCAUGAUUCCAUUUCCUUAAUAGAGUCAUUCCAACAAUGAUAUAACUUAUCAUUUCAUGUGACUUCUUGAUUCCAAACUUAACCAAACUUUUCCAGAGACCAACAUAGAUUGGGAUGGAUAUAAGACACAUGGAAAAGGUUCCAUUAGCAUCAUCAAAGCAUACCUUUUAAAAAGGCAUAUAUGCAAGCAAGGUUGCAUCCACCAAGCCCAAGUUGGGGUUUACUUUCAUAGAUUGACUUUGACCUCUAUAUUACCAUUGAACUUGUCAUGUUUGAGCUCAAACCUAGUACUUAGCAAGUGACAAACACCUGGGGUGUUACAAUCACCCAGCUGCGGAUGAUGAGUAGAUCAUGGGCGUGAUCACCCCCUUUAUCUUCAGUUGUGCUUUUGUUGGGACUUGACCAUGGAACUGGCAUGUAUUAUGAACUAAGUUGGAGUUGUUUCAAAACUACUUUGUUUCCGCUACUGCUAUGGUUUGUAAUAACCUCUUUCAAACUCUGAUGUGAUGUAAAACUAUGUUCUGUGUGGAAUGUUGUAAUCUAUGAUGGUGAUGCUUGAUCAUGUACGAUCUUGGUUGUAUGAUUGGUUGAAUCGAGGUCUUUUGAGAUUUCGUCGGACUACCGGGUUUAUAUGGGUUCAAGUCCAUUGGUUUCACUGCCUCGGUGGUCGCUAAUUCACUUGAAUUCUUAUAAAUUGGACGGUUCUGUUGCAUCUACGACACUGGAUCUAACGUCAACAUAAUGGCCGCAGUCACUUAUCAGCUCCUGCAUGGAACCAUGUCCCUACAACCAACAUACAUUCAGCUCCAGAUGAUUUUAAGGUUAUUGACAUGGGAGAAGACAAGUACGAUCCACCCAUCAUCCUUGGAAGACCGUUCCUCAGCACUGUUAAAGCAAUCAUCUACAUUGGAACCGGAGAAGUCCACAUGCACUUCCCCUCUAACAAGGUACGCCGCUAUUUUACUGACCUUAAUUAUAUAGUUGAAGACUCUAAGCAGGUCAUGACAAGAAGAAGACGACGCAACCGUAACCAGAGAAGGCAAAAUCAUCAAGGACGGAUGGGUAGACUAUGAAGGAGAAGUUGUAAGGUCUGAAGACAUACAGCUUGAUCAGAACUGUCCUAAGGAGACCGUAGCACCGAGUCAGGUGUGUAGAGAGAAGAUUGUUAUACACGAAGAGGAGGCGCCGCCGGAACCACCGACUACGCCAUCCAGCGAAUCCUAGGAUGAUUGAGAAAACGGAGAGUCCCAUUCGGAGGACUUAAAAACACCGAACGCCUUGCCAAGAGGUAAACUUGGUAGUUAUCUUUCUCCUUUCAAUUAUUUAAAACAGUUUGCUUAGUUAAUCAGGUUUAUAUCAUCUUGAAAAGAAAAUAAAAUAGUAAGCCCCAUGUGAUUAUGCUCAUGGCAUAAAACCCAUAAGUACAUUCACUGUGGUGGCAUAAAAACAAAAUAAAUAUAUUGCUGUCCUAUAAAAAUGAAAAUAUAAAAAUAAAUUUAUGAUCCUACCAAAGAGUGUAACAUUUAUUGAGGAGGCUCAACAUGAUAAAGGCUAGAUAUUUAUGCUAACACUUAACUAGUUCCACAAAGCUUUGUUGUCUAUUUGAGCUCCACAAAAUUCAAGGAUCAAAGAAGACUAGCAGACGGAGGACAUCAUAAUCGUUGUCAGGGUGCUGCCGACAUUCAAAUACACCUCCGCCACUUGCUAGCUACAUCAGAAGAGAUUACGUCAAAAUCCAGCUUGGGGGAGAGCACCCCCAUUUAUACAGCUAAGUAUUCUACUCACGUUUAUACUUUACACUAAUAAUAAAAUGAUGCAUAAUUAUAGAAACCCAAAUAAAGAUUUUGUGCUUAUAUAUAUCUUUGCUUAGUUUGCUAAAUAAAUAAAUAAAUAAAGUCUGCUAUGAACCAUCAUGAUAAGCUCUCACAUGGAAAUGAUGAAUAGUUGCUCUACCAUGACUAGUUCUCAAAAUUGAAAUCUCUCUCUCAAGUUUAGGCCUGGUUGUUAUUAAUUUGCUCUAAACCUGAACUUGUGGGAAGAGUACUUGAUCUGAAGUCUAAGUCGUUAACGGAUAUGAUAUGGGAAGGUUGAGCUGCUGUUUAUCUGUUCCUAGAGAUGCUAGAAUUCUGGAGAAUUUUAUCUUUGAAAAUCUUUAAAAUGUUGCAUGAUGAGUUCCUGUAUGAUGAGAGUUUAAAUUCCCACCACAGCCAUAUAUACAUGCUUGUUAGACUAUGAACCACACAUUUACUUUUUACUGCUUAUGAGCAUUGAGUGUGGUCAAGUUGUGUAGACCCUUAGGAGCUUGUCAUGUGGUUAAAAUCAAGAUUCACUUGCACGUUCACUCAUACAUGCUGCUUCUACUCCGGAAGAACGCAUCCACAUAUACCAUCCAUUUCCAUCUCCAGAACCACCCAAAAAUAUUCUACUCCUAAUCCAGGAGAGAAUAGCCAAAAACAUUCUCCUAUUUCUGUUUUUCCCUGUGAAAAAAUGCUCAAGUUAUCUUGGUUACUACCACUUGCUAUAUUAUUUCAGGAGAUGAGUGGUCUAAAAAAAAAGAAAAAAAAAGAAAAAAAAAGAGAGAAAAAAAAAGAAUACGAGGAAAUAAAAAGGGGCAAGUGCCCGGAACCUCGAAAGAAAAGAAAAAGUGAGACGAGAGGUAAAAAUGGACAAGUGUCCGAUAGUAGAAUUAGGGGUACAAGAUACCCACCUGAGAGGAAAGAAAAAGAAAAUAUAGAGCAUCUCAUUCUCCUCAAAAAGUUUCAAAAGAGCAAGAAAGGUAUGUAUCCCCUCAAAAGAGCAUAAGUAGAAUUAGACUUUCACCAUUGUUAUUACCAUCAUCACCAUACAUCAUUCAUUUGCCACACAUGCACAUCUUGAUUUGACUUAUUGACUUGUUCUUUUGGAUUCAUGGUUUGGCUAUGCAAUAAAUGUCUUGUAAGUAUGUAUUAGCCGUCUCCCACCUAUGAGCUCCAGAUAUCAAAAGCCUUAUUAGAGUAGGGUGAGAGAGAAGGCAACGCCACUAUGCUUUAUACCACAAAUACCACAUACUUUGAGAGAAGGCAUACACCAUUACUGCCUUGGUAAGGAUCCAGAAAUACCACAAAUGAGAGACUAGAGAGAGUCAUACAAGGAAUCUCUGAGUUUUAUUUGAAAAUCUGCAAAAACUCCAGAGCUAUAGUUAAUCGAAGAACAAGAGACAUGGCGCUUGACUAGACCGUUCUAUCUUUUAACUGCUCAAGACAAAAGUGACGGUUGCAAGCCCCAUGGUGAAAGGUAAUAUGAGUAAGUUUAAAUCUUAACAGUUACCCUAACCUAGAGAUGAGAUCUUGUUUGAAUGCAUGUAUAUCUUUAAGGCAUGAAACCACUGCAGAAACUCUUGAGUUCAUCUUUGCUCAGGGACAAGCAAAGGUUCAGCUUGGGGGAGCUUGUUGACGGUCCUUAAUGCUCACAUUUAACCAUCAACUAAUCAUAGAAAAGGAUCCAAAUGCAAGCAACACCUAGACUUAGGGUUUUAUCUGACAGAAUUCCACGAGUUUUGGUGUUUGUCUAUUUCUACAGGGGGUUAUCAGGAAAUACGGAAGAAAGGCCCACACGUCGGGUUUACAUAGAGAUAUUAACGUGCCGCGCAAUUUUCUAUCAUCUAGAAGAC
rnacentral:lncRNA from 1 species